rnacentral:rRNA from 1 species
AGGAUGAACGCUGGCGGCGUGCUUAACACAUGCAAGUCGAACGAUGACCCGGUGCUUGCACCGGUGAUUAGUGGCGAACGGGUGAGUAACACGUGAGUAACCGGCCCUUAACUCUGGGAUAAGCCUGGGAAACUGGGUCUAAUACCGGAUAUGACUCCUCAUCGCAGUGGUGGGGGGUGGAAAGCUUUAUUGUGGUUUUGGAUGGACUCGCGGCCUAUCAGCUUGUUGGUGAGGUAAUGGCUCACCAAGGCGACGACGGGUAGCCGGCCUGAGAGGGUGACCGGCCACACUGGGACUGAGACACGGCCCAGACUCCGUACGGGAGCAGCAGUGGGGAAUAGUUGCACAAG